rnacentral:rRNA from 1 species
UGAGGAAUCUUGGACAAUGGGGGAAACCCUGAUCCAGCGACGCCGCGUGAAGGAUGAAGGUCUUCGGAUUGUAAACUUCUUUUCUUUGGGACUAAGAAAACUUUGGAAACAAAGUGAGUGAAUGUACUAGAGGAAUAAGCCACGGCUAACUUCGUGCCAGCAGCCGCGGUAAUACGAAGGUGGCAAGCGUUACUCGGAAUUACUAGGCGUAAAGGGCAGGUAGGUGGUUCGGUAAGUCUGUUGUGUAAGCUCCUGGCUUAACUGGGAGAGGUCAACGGAAACUGCCGAGCUUGAGUAUAGGAGAGGGUACUGGAAUUCCCGGUGUAGCGGUGAAAUGCGCAGAGAUCGGGAGGAACACCAAUGGCGAAAGCAGGUACCUGGACUAUUACUGACACUCAGCUGCGAAAGCUAGGGGAGCAAACA